CCUACGGGGGGCUGCAGUGGGGAAUUUUGGACAAUGGGGGCAACCCUGAUCCAGCCAUGCCGCGUGAGUGAAGAAGGCCUUCGGGUUGUAAAGCUCUUUCGGCCGGGACGAAAUCGCUUCGGCUAAUACCUGGAGUGGAUGACGGUACCGGAAGAAGAAGCACCGGCUAACUACGUGCCAGCAGCCGCGGUAAUACGUAGGGUGCGAGCGUUAAUCGGACGUGCUGGGCGUAAAGCGUGCGCCGGCUGUUAAAUCCCCGGGCGUAACCUGGGAACUGCGUUUGUGACUGCGAGACUUGAGUGCGGCAGAGGGGGGUGGAAGUCCACGUGUAGCAGUGAAAUGCGUAGAGAUGUGGAGGAACACCGAUGGCGAAGGCAGCCCCCUGGGUCGACACUGACGCUCAUGCACGAAAGCGUGGGGAGCAAACAGGAUUAGAUACCCCAGUAGUC
rnacentral:rRNA from 1 species